rnacentral:rRNA from 1 species
GAUGAACGCUGGCGGCGUGCCUAAUACAUGCAAGUCGAGCGAACGGACGAGAAGCUUGCUUCUCUGAUGUUAGCGGCGGACGGGUGAGUAACACGUGGAUAACCUACCUAUAAGACUGGGAUAACUUCGGGAAACCGGAGCUAAUACCGGAUAAUAUUUUGAACCGCAUGGUUCAAAAGUGAAAGUCGGUCUUGCUGUCACUUAUAGAUGGAUCCGCGCUGCAUUAGCUAGUUGGUAAGGUAACGGCUUAUCACGGCAACGAUGCAUAGCCGACCUGAGAGGGGGAUCGGCCACACUGGAACUGAGACACGGUCCAGACUCCUACGGGAGGCAGCAGUAGGGAAUCUGCCGCAAUGGGCGAAAGCCUGACGGAGCAACGCCGCGUGAGUGAUGAAGGUCUUCGGAGCGUAAAACUCGGUUAUUAGGGAAGAACAUAUGUGUAAGUAACUGUGCACAGCUUGACGGUACCUAAUCAGAAAGCCACGGCUAACUACGUG